UCAGUGAGGGAGGAAGGAGACAAAAAUAUUCCGAUAGAUAUAGUAGGAAUGAGAGAAACAGAAAAUCAACAUUAGGCAGACACCACAGUAAUACUUGUCCCAAACAAGAUCCACUGAUGGCCAAAAGUUUUGAGACAGCUUAUUACUCAAAUAUCUCCCCCAAGAUAUUUUUUAAUCACAAAGGGAUUAAUAGUAACUUCAUGGUGGAGAACUUGGCCGAAACACCUUAGCCAAGUGAUGAAGGCGUGAGAUAGAACACUGUUGCCACUGAGAAAUAAGACAGAGUACAUGGGAACUCCGUACCAUUUUUACAAAAUGGAGGAAGUGAAGAUGAGCUCACUGCUCUCCUGGGCCAGGUGAGCAGGGCACCUUCAGAACUGGGGCUGGCCCUUGCGUCUCAGAGCGGCUGGGGUGGAUGGAUGGGCUUCUGUGGACUCUCUGCUGCCCACCCUGUCUCUGCUGGCUUGGCAGGUACGAAUGCUGUGAGCAGGGACAAACUUGACAAUUUGGAGGAACAGCAAGGAGGCAGGACAGGAGCUUACAGUUGUGCCACUUGGUGGUCCCACCAGAAAUGCAGAGCGUUCCAUUGCCUCUGAAUCCUUCUCAUCGCUCAGUGGGGCCAGAACUUUCUUAGUCACUCCAGAUGGACAGGGAGGAAGCAGGUGGGGACUGACCUCAAGUCCCGGGUGUAACAGGAAAGUUCUUGUAAACCAGCCACAACUUCGUUGUCUCCCCGAGACCAUAGGCAGUCUGGGGCCACUGUGAGCUCGGGGACACCUUGUCCCUUCAUGCGCUAUGGAGCUGAGCAAAGUGACAUUUCCACGUUCGGAGAUCAGAAGUAAGACUUUGCUAAGGAAUGUGCCUCCUGCCCUGACAGAGGAGAGCUGACCCUUCACCUCUCACCCCAAGGAGACUUUCCACGGGCUCCCCAAGAGCCGCACUCUAAGAUUUAUCU